AUGAUUUCGGUUGGACUUUUAGAUUCCAGGCCCAUUAAUGAUGUUUGUCCCUUCGUCACUUUGCCCUAGACAUUAGCGUCUCCGACGAAACUUCCUGAAAUUGUGAUCGACGAAUGUCUUUACGUUUCCUUCUCCAUAACGGCGCAUUAAUUCCUAUUUUGCGCCCAGCUUCUGCGUAAUUAACCUACUCUUCAACUCUGCAUCAUUCAAUCGAUUUCAUAGCAUCCCCAAAGUAACCGACUCAAGCUUCGACUAUAAAUAUCCUCAAUUUGAGCCAUGAACAACACAGCUUCGAUGAGAUUAAUAAGAAUAGUCUAUUCUACUUACCGAUUACUGCGAUUGUGAAUUCCUUUAUCUUCCUUGCCGAUUUGAAAGAUGGGCGCUGCUCCAACAUUGCAGAGGUUCAUUUGCUGAGGUUUUGGGAGGCGAGAUGGGUCCUGUGCGAAGAGAUAUUGUGAUACCUAAGCGUUGUACCCGGUAACUAUGAUCCGACAGAUUGCUGCAGGUGGUACUCACUCUAUAGUUUGAUACGCGAAGGUUAUGUGUGGACUUGGGGUCAUCCGUGACAUCCCCAUGACAUUGUUCAAGGUCCUCUGUCGGAGCAUUUUGUAAUGUGGCUCUUGAAUAAGAUGGGAGGCUCUUCGCACAACCCCUCAUCAUGUCCAAGUCCAAGGCCUCGAUGUCGAUGAUCUCACUUUGGUUGAUAUUGAUGUGGGUGGCUUGCAUUCAACUUCUUUAACUGGUAAAGGAGAGAUAUUAA